rnacentral:rRNA from 1 species
AGAGCGAACGCUGGCGGCAGGCCUAAAACAUGCAAGUCGAACGGAUCCUUCGGGAUUAGUGGCGGACGGGUGAGUAACACGUGGGAACGUGCCUUUUGGUUCGGAACAACUCAGGGAAACUUGAGCUAAUACCGAAUGUGCCCUUCGGGGGAAAGAUUUAUCGCCAUUAGAGCGGCCCGCGUCUGAUUAGCUAGUUGGUGAGGUAAAGGCUCACCAAGGCUACGAUCAGUAGCUGGUCUGAGAGGAUGAUCAGCCACACUGGGACUGAGACACGGCCCAGACUCCUACGGGAGGCAGCAGUUAGGAAUCUUGCGCAAUGGGCGAAAGCCUGACGCAGCCAUGCCGCGUGAAUGAUGAAGGUCUUAGGAUUGUAAAUUCUUUCAGCGGGGACGAUAAUGACGGUACCCGCAGAAGAAGCUCCGGCUAACUUCGUGCCAGCAGCCGC